UACGUAGGUGGCAAGCGUUGUCCGGAAUUAUUGGGCGUAAAGCGCGCGCAGGUGGUUUCUUAAGUCUGAUGUGAAAGCCCGCGGCUCAACCGUGGAGGGUCAUUGGAAACUGGGGAACUUGAGUGCAGAAGAGGAAAGUGGAAUUCCAAGUGUAGCGGUGAAACGGCGUAGAGAUUUGGAGGAACACCAGUGGCGAAGGCGACUUUCUGGUCUGUAACUGACACUGAGGCGCGAAAGCGUGGGGAGCGAACAGG
rnacentral:rRNA from 1 species